GACGAACGCUGGCGGCGUGCUUAACACAUGCAAGUCGAACGAUGAAGAAAAUAAUCGAAGCUUCGGCAGAAAUUCAUUUCGGAUUAGUGGCAGACGGGUGAGUAACGCGUGAGCAACCUACCUCUUACAAAGGGAUAGCCUCGGGAAACCGGGAUUAAUACCAUAUAACAUUGCGACGAAGCAUUUCGAUGCAAUCAAAGCUACGGCGGUAAGAGAUGGGCUCGCGUCCCAUUAACCGGAUGGUGAGGUAACGGCUCACCAUAGUGACGAUGGGUAACCGGCCUGAGAGGGUGAACGGUCACACUGGAACUGAGACACGGUCCAGACUCCUACGGGAGGCAGCAGUGGGGAAUAUUGCACAAUGGAGGGAACUCUGAUGCAGCGACGCCGCGUGAGUGAUGAAGGAAUUCGUUUCGUAAAACUCUGUUCUAUGGGAAGAAAAGGACUGUACCAUAGGAGAAAGCACCGGCUAAAUACGUG
rnacentral:rRNA from 1 species